GGUGAUCCAAUCACCGUGUCCUCUUUGAAUACACUCCCCCCCGCCCCGAACUCUGUCUCGAUCUCUCCCUCUCUCUCGAUCUCUCUCUCUCUCUCGCUCUCUUCCUCUUGCUCUCUCUCUCUCCGACGCCGCCGACGCCGCCGCCGCCGCCGCCCCCCCCCCCGAACUCUGUCUCGAUCUCUCCCUCUCUCUCGAUCUCCCUCUCUCUCGCUCUCUUCCUCUUGCUCUCUCUCUCUCUGGCCGACGCCGACGCCGCCGCCGCCCUUUGUUGCCCGAGGUAGCUUCAUUCCUCGUUCUCCCUAGCCCUAGAAGCUUCUCUCUCUCUCUCUCUCUCUCUCUCUCUCUCUCUCUCCCCCUCUGUGGCCCACACUGCCGCCGUCGGCGACGCCGCCGCCGCCCUCACCCGCCUCUGUGAGGCUUCUCACAGUGAGAAGCCCCACCCCACCCCACACCCCACCCGCCUCUGUGAGGCUUCUCACAGUGAGAAGGGCUUCUCACUGUGAGAAGCCCCCUCACAAUCCCUCACUGUGAGAAGCUUCUCACUGUGAGAAGUCCCCUCACAGUCCCUCACAUUGGCUUCUCACAAUGAGAAGCCCUCACUGUGAGAAUCCCCCCCCUCCCUCUCACAGUGAGAAGCCACUGUGAGGCUUCUCACUGUGAGGCGCGGGGGGGCUUCUCACAGUGAGAAGCCACUGUAAGGCACGGGGGGUUUGAGGCUUCUCACAGUGAGAAUCCCCCCCCCCCCCCCCCCCCCCCCCCCCCCCCCCCCCCCNCCAAAAUUCACAUUAUCUAGAAUUCUCAGAAUAUUUCUUGCAAUAAAAGCAUCCUUAGCGACUCUGAGAUUCCUAACCCUUAGAACCCCUCGGCGCUUGGUGUACAAUAAAGCAUUCUUUAUUGGCGUACUGCAUAAACGAUUGGAUGCCUUGCCAAUUGGCAUGCUUCAUAGAGCAUUCUUGAUUUUAGAGCUCUCAACCAUUUUGGUAAGGGUAGGAUGAGCACUCAAGGGGAUUUCGGAAGAGUAGGCCUCAAGCGGAUAUGGAGUGUUCUUCCCCAAGUCACACAACGAGAAACUAUAUAAAUUUGGGCUUUUUAUGCAUUUAGCCCCCUGGCAAAUUUUUAUUUUAAAAAUAGCCCUGUCAAAAUUUAAUUUGCAAAAAUAGCCCUAGGCCUACCACGCAGGCGCCAUGUCAGCGCCACGCGGGCGGGGCUGGGGGGCGGUAGUUAAGUUAAAAACGGUGAACCAUUCACCAUGUCUAAACACGGUGAACCAUUCACCGUGUUUUGGUACGUAUUUUUUGUAUAUUGAAAAGAGGAAUAGGGAAUUUGUAUUCCUUUUCUUCUCUUUUUCAAAAAUCCGAACCCGAACCCGAAAAUCAAAUUAAAAUCCAAACCCGGAUCCGAACCCGACGGAUUUUAAAAAUUCAUACCCAUAUCCAUAUCUAACCAAAAACUCGAUACCCGAACCUGAACCCAGCGGGUUUUAAAAAUCUAUACCGUUGGAUGAAGAUCUAAGAAAUAAAAAUUAUUAAAUAUUUUAUAUAUUGUAUAAAUAAAUAAAAAUAAAUUAUGUAUAUAUAUAUAUAUAAUUUAUUUGGGUUUGGAUUCGGAUAAUAUUUCGGAUAUCCAUACCUAUUGACAUCCCUACUCCCUAUUCCUCUUUUCAAUAAAAAUACGUACUAAACACGGUGAAUCGUUCACCGUGUUCAACUUAACACACGGGCCCCGGUCCUGCCCGCGUGGCGCUGACGUGGCGUCUGCAUGGCAGGCCCAGGCCAUUUUUGCAAAUUAAAUUUUGACAGGGCUAAUUUUAAAAUAAAAAUUUGCCAGGGGGCUAAAUGCAAAAAAAGCCCUAUAAAUUUAGAAAAGCUUUGGCAAUGUCCACUUGAGAAUCGACACUGGAAGCAUUAGCUCAAUAAUGGCUUUAACCUAUUCAUGUGCCUUCUAAUGAUAAUGACACAAAGAUUUGGCGGGUUUUGUGGUUUUUUAGUAUUUAGUGGGGAAAGUGGAAAGCAUGGUGUAUUCGGGCGGUUACUUAUGUUUGAGCCUUUAAAUAAAUAACACUCUUGAUGUACUUUCUCAACUACAUUUUGUAGGGUAUUCGUGAUUCUCAACAGUUAUUGGGUCAAUUAGAUGUGAAUUUGUUUCAAGUCCCAGACUAUUGAAGUGCUGCCGUUGUAAUCUAAAAUAAAUUUGUCGACCUAGAUCUAAAAAAAAAGAAAAAAAAUCCAUAUAAGUACUUAGAACCUCCCUAUGCCCUGCUAUAUUCUGAAGUAUUGUAGUAUUUGGUUUCUUGCUUCUGCACAUAUUCUACGACUAAAGUUACACUUCUAUCUACUAAAGGCUUAAUUACACUAUCUCACACUAAAUAUUAGGGGUGCUUUUAUUUUCUACACUAUACUUAAUUCUUUGUCCAACUCUCCAUUAUACUUUAGUUUCUACAAUGAUUUCUAUACUACAUUAACAGAUGACAAAAUUUUAAAUAGUUUUGAGCAAUUUCUCACCACUUAUAUUUCCUAUGAUCCCUGACAUACAAAAGACCUAGUUUCAAUAGGUAACCUAUUCUUAAAUGUCUUUUAUUGAGGAAAAAUGGAGAGCAGCGUUACGCCUUGGGUUACAGUGGAAGCCCUCAGGCAUACAAACAGGUCUGCCGUAUGUGCGAAGACGGUUUUGCUAUGAUGCAGAAUUGGGUGCAGCUAGGAUUGAGUCGUUUAGGUUUUAAUUAUUUUUCUAAUUUUUGAAAUUAUUUUGUUUGUUAAUUUGUUUUAGUCGGUUUUAAAGAUUUUUAGGAUUUAUCAUGUGGAAUAAAUCUCUAAAAAUUAGGGAUAUGGUUUAGGCUUUUUCUUGGAUAUAUUUGAAUUAGGAAAGCUUAGAUAUAUUCGAAUUAGGAAAGAUCUCUAAAAUAGUGGAAUUUGAAUCAAAUUAGGAUUAUGCUUUGAAGUUUAUAAAUAUAGCCUAUGCCUUGUAAUUUAGGGACGAGUUGUGAUGGAAUAAAAUUUGGGUUUGUGUUUUGACUGUGAUCAUGGUAUAUUCUUCCCCUUCUUUGCAAUGUGCGUCGGCAAAAUCCUUCUUUCUAAAAUGUUCCACCUUCUCCUUCCUUUCUCAUCUUUUCUCUUUUUAUCUAUUUCUUUCUUAUCCUUCUUCUAGAUUUGCUUUUCCCCUAUUAUUUGGCUACUUUAUUCCAUUUUCUCUUAAUUUCUUUUUUUUUUAAAUACAAAAAAAAUUGUCGGAACCUUAUUCUUAGAGGCGAUCUAUUCUGGAUUUUAUUCUUUUUUUUAAUUCCGAAAAUUGAUUUAAAAAUUCACUAUUUUAUUUAUAAAUUAAAAAAUUUGAAAAUUAAACUAAAAUUUUAGAAAAUUCUAAAUUUGGUUUUAUAUUUUUUUUUGGGCUCAUUAUCUGCAAGAUAGAUUAGGGUUUUCUUAAUUUGUUCUACAGCAUGCUACAUACGAAGCCUAACACAACUAACCUGCACAUACCAUUUUCAUAGAACAUAUGUAUGGAAAGCAUAUGGUAGAUAUAUCAGAGUCUAAGUACAACUAUACAACUAUAGCUACAACUAUACAAGCCAUCGCUGUUUAUCCCAAAAUAAUACCCAUCAUUUGUCCGUCUCUCUCUCUCUACAACAUAUGUACUGCUAGCUAUUCCAUCGCCAUAUGGAUCCUCCACUAGAAGCUCUCCAGGGAUGCUAUCUAGCUCGCGAUUCUCUUACUUCGAUUACCUGUCGGCACUAAGGGCUCUGAAAUUAAUAUAACAACAAGAGUGUGAGAACUAUUAAAAAAUUAUUUCUAGUGGGUAUGAUUGACGAUAAAGAUGACCUAUAUCACUAGGUCUACUUGAGGCAUCAAUAAUAUAAGUUGUAGCUGAAAUAGAUAGCAAUGUGAUAUAACAAGCUAUCAACAAAUAGCCACUAUUAUGCCUCUACAAAGAAAGUGCUUGGAACUAUAAAUCAUGUCACAUCAUGUGUCAAAUAUAGUAACUGAUAAUAAGUGCCAUAUCUAUCCAAUCACACCGACUGACUCAUAAGUCUGGUUAAGUCCGCGCCGCGCCUAGUGAACAUAGAACAAUCGCAUUUGAACCACUAAGGUUGUCAAUUAAGGCAACUCGAGCAAUUGCAUAGUUGCACAGCACUGCCUUCGAAGGGCUAUCUUAUUGGGGAGCGACCCCACAUAAGUAUACACAUAUAGUUGAGCUCACUUUGGCUCCUGCAAGCUAUAGUCACGUGCCAUGGUCAACAAAAUCACAUGAGCUUUCCAUUUCACAUUUCACUUGCCUCAUAUCACUUUCACAUAAGUUCAUGCCCACUAAUCCCCACUCUCACAUGUCUCCUGACAUAGCAAGUAUCUCAAGGUGAUAGAACUUGAAAGGCUCUAACAAGUAUCUCGAAUAGGUUUUCACUAUGUUUACAUAGGUUCCAACUCAGGUGCCAGUGUGCCACUCUCCCUGUCAUGCUCUCUAUAGCAAGAUAUAGUGAAGUACAAGAUGCUAACAAGUUCAUCAUGCCAUUAGGACAAAUAAUUUCCACCAGAACAUGAAGGUAUAGACAUAUUGAUUAAUUCACCAUUUUCGGCAACAAAUACCCACCAGAUCAAUUCUUCCAAUUUGUAGUAACUCCAACUCAGCUCUUGGGAACUCUCCAGCCCUAUACAAGUAUGUUUAUAUAGAUCAAACCUCAGCCAAUAUCAUCUCUUCAAGGUACAUCAAUUGUAGCAAAAGCAAUCUCAAAUCUCUAUAUUUCAUAUCUCGACCCUCAAUUCUUACCUUGAUUAUGCACUAACAGGUUCGAGCACAAGAUAGGAUCAUUUGAAAGGUCUCCUUCUCCACUCCACUCUCAGUUGCAUACGAAUUAAAAGUUACUAGGAGGAAGCUUAAUCAACUUGAGGGCCCUUUAAAUCUACGAAUAGGUUUUCACUAUGUUUACAUAGGUUCCAACUCAGGUGCCAGUGUGCCACUCUCCCUGUCAUGCUCUCUAUAGCAAGAUAUAGUGAAGUACAAGAUGCUAACAAGUUCAUCAUGCCAUUAGGACAAAUAAUUUCCACCAGAACAUGAAGGUAUAGACAUAUUGAUUAAUUCACCAUUUUCGGCAACAAAUACCCACCAGAUCAAUUCUUCCAAUUUGUAGUAACUCCAACUCAGCUCUUGGGAACUCUCCAGCCCUAUACAAGUAUGUUUAUAUAGAUCAAACCUCAGCCAAUAUCAUCUCUUCAAGGUACAUCAAUUGUAGCAAAAGCAAUCUCAAAUCUCUAUAUUUCAUAUCUCGACCCUCAAUUCUUACCUUGAUUAUGCACUAACAGGUUCGAGCACAAGAUAGGAUCAUUUGAAAGGUCUCCUUCUCCACUCCACUCUCAGUUGCAUACGAAUUAAAAGUUACUAGGAGGAAGCUUAAUCAACUUGAGGGCCCUUUAAAUCUAGGAUCCACGGGUAAAUAAAAAAAAUGGAAGAAGAGGGAGAGUAACAUCCCAAUAGUCUCACAUUGGAUGGGUGUGGGGUUGUGAUUAGGCAUAUAAGCUACUAUGGACCCUAGUAAUAAUUAUUGGGCUUAAGCAUUUUGGGCCUAACGAGUUAUUAUUAUUUCUAGCGGGUCGGGUCACGAUAUUUGGUAUUACAGCUGGUUCACUAGCCGAAAGUGUGAGAUGAGUCUUGACUGAGCUAGGGUCGGAAUGACAGACUAAGCCAGGGUUUUGGAAAUAACAGGCUAAGCCAGGGUCGAAAUGACAAAGCUAGCGAAACAAAUCUCACAUUGCUUGGUGAUCUUAGGGUGACGAGAGCGUCAGGGCCUAAAUGGGAGGAGUCUGUGAUAUCCUGAUAGUCCCACAUCGGAUGGGAGCAGGGUAGUGAUCUGGUAUAUAAGAGAUUACGGACCCUAGUGAUAAUAAAUGGGCUUAAGCAUUUGGGUCGGUGGUUUGGGUCUAACGAGUUAUUAUUAUUGCUAGCUGGUUGGAUCGUUACAGAGAGAAAUGGGGUUCCUUAAGCUGGAAAUAAAGGAGCUACUUGUGGUGAAAGCCCUCUUAUAGAGACGCAACAAUUGCGUUUAAACGCCUCAAAUCAAUGGAAUUAGCCAACUAAGUGGCUUAGCCUGAAACCAAUUUCGGGCAAUCGAAACCACUUUCGAUCGUUCACAACCUUAUUGAUGAGUCACCUGUUUACUGCUUUCCUAUUUGUUGAUCUUAUCAGUAGACUUUGAGCGUCAUAGGGAUUUCUAGGUGUUCGAAACAUUGCGUGAACAGACCUUAGCUCUUGGGUUGAGCGUCUGAAACACUUUUGGGUGUCCAAUUUUGCGCUGAAUCUUCCAGGCGUCCACAGGACAAUCCGGACCAUCCAAAACAUUGUGUUCCACUCAGCACAACACUUUUGGACGCCCACAGCUACUUUCGGAUGUCCGAUAGUAUUUAGAAAGUUUAGUUUCAUCUGAAAACAUUUUCGGAUUAUGUUUUCUUGCCCUUUUCACAUCAGAAUAGAUCUAAAUCAACGCAGUGACCUCCAGAAAUCUUUUAGAAGUACCAAUUAUCAUCUCAUAUAGUAUAAUAACUCGCGCAAUGCGACGGGUUGAUAUUGCCAAACUCAAAAUUCUAUCUUAGCUAAAGAAUAAAUAUAAAAACAAUUAUAAAUAGUAAAAAUCAAUAUAUAGAUAAAAGAAGAAGUAUAAAAAGAAGAAUAUAAAAAGAGCAUAGAAUUAGGAAACAAAACUGAAGCACGCUACAUGCAACCAUCGUCCAAUGCCUGAAUCAAAGAAGACCAAAAGAAUAUUUGCAUAGACAAAGUAGAAACAAUUGUAAAAUAGUUUAUAAUUCAAGCAUAGUACUAAUAGAACAGCAAGAAGCAUAAAUACUUCUACGGUGUCUACAAAUCUUAAAAUAAAAUGAAUAAUAAUAGUAAUAAAGUGGUAAUAAGUUAAAUUUGGUGACGGAGUUGACAUAAAGUUGAUGUGCUAGCGUGUGUUGUUCUUUUUUUUUUCCACAUUCAUGGUUAUAUAUUAAGGCGCAUCCUUCCUUUGGUCUUUGAUAUUAUUUGUUCAGCUUGCUUUGUUGGCGUAGUUUAACUACAAAAAAUAUUUUAAGCAAAACAAUUCGCUAAUUAGUUAGCAUGAAACAUUUUCUCAUAUAUCGAAGCACAAAAUAAGGAUAGUGUGCCAAAUGAUUUAACACAUGCAUUUUAAUG
rnacentral:lncRNA from 1 species